UUGGCUAUGUCACGUUGAAACCCCCGGUUCUCGCCCGAUCACCGAAGUUAUGAAAAGGCGAGCCUGGUCAGUACCGACAUGAGUGACCGCUUGGGAAUACCAGUCGCUGUAA